UUGAUGCAGGUCCUGGAGCAAAGUAGGUUCAUGGAAGGGGUUUUCCAUAGACAGCAAGCUGGGCAGAAGAAUCUGCCUCUGCUGAGUAGGUCCCUGGGUGAGCAGCUGCCCACGUCAACAGGAGCAGGCUGCCUGGGCAUUGGGUCAGAACACUGACCCUGUUCCCAAUGGGGAUAGGAGUCACAAGGGUUCUUAGAAAAGAGGAGACUAAGAGCUCAGCUGCAUCCUGAACUAAAACCCACCUCCUGACCACACAGUGAUGAGUGAAUCCUGGGGGACCAAUUUGGGAGAGAAGACUGGCUGAUCUGAUCCUGCACUUUCUCCUCGCGUCACAAGAUCUCCCACCCCUGCCACUGGCCGAUCAGACCUGUGCAGCCUGCAGCCCUGCAAGAAUUUGAUGGGGACUGUGCCUGCCUGCUUCCCACAUGCUGUCCGUAUCGCAGGAGGGGAACUCCAUCCUGGCUGAAGGUAGGUGCCCCACCAUGGUCUCAGCAAGGGAAGGACAGUCUGGGCCAGGAAGGCUGGAAAAGGUGGAGGGGGUGCUCGCCUAUGCAGCAGGGCCUGUGGACAGAGGCCAGAGUAUGGAAGUAUGGACAUGGGCCUCAGAGAGACCCUGUCCAGUGGAGAGAUGGGCCUGUGCAUGUGGGGUGAACAGCAGUAGCUCAGAGGAAGAACUGCCUCACUGAGAACAGGAGGGUGGCAGAGCUGAGGAUGUUACAUGGUGCCUCACAUGACCACCCCAGCACUGAGACAGCAGGGGCCAUUUCUGGAAAAGGAAGGAAGUUUCUGGCUGGGUACAGACUGCAGGAAGGGCCCCAUCAUGUGCUCAGAGGUCAGCGUCCUGGGCCAGCAACCAGCCGGUACAGGACACUCAUAGAAGGAACUCCAUGCCAGGCACCACCAUCUCUCUCCUCUGCUUGCCACACCACCCCACUCUCUUCUCAACAGCAGCAGGUGCCUUGGUCACCUGCAGAGGUGGCUGUCUCUCGGUCCCUGUCCUACUCUCAGUGCUGGAAAGCCUCCUUGGACACACAGAGUAAAGCACCAGGGUCCAUGCUACUUCCUGUGCUUGGCCUCAGACAUUCACCCAUAGCGUCAGGAGCCUGGCCUCGUCUCUUACUUUUGAGGUGACCCUCUUUGGGAGGACUUCCCUGACCACCCCCAGCCCCAUCAGCCAUAGGAGGUACAAAUCGUAGAGUGAGGGUCUGAGGAAGGAAGAGGCAUCCUGCCCUGUACAGACCAUUCCAUCCCAGGGAGGGGUGGGCAGGGGCUCUGGCCCUGUGGAGCAGUCUCUAUGGCUUUGGGGAUUUAGGUACAGAGCUCACAGAGGCUGCCUCUUGGGUGGCCUGGUCCUUCCAACAAUAGUUCUGAGGACAGGGCCUGGGCCCCAGGCUUCAUGGAGGAGGAGCAGGUGAUCGUCAGUUCCCCCGCCACUUGCUCUGGCCUGCAGGUGAAGUCCUCCUUCAGUGCUCCUCUGAGACACACUUGCAGGGCAGGGGCACUGCCCUGAGCUCAGUGCAAACAUGAGAGGUGGAGGAGGGUGUUAGCAAGGACCCAGAGGGGACAGCUGACAUUUUCAUUCUAGGAAAUACAUCCCUGUCCCUCACCAUGGCAUUUGGGGCUUGGCUGUCCAUUACCGGGGCUCAGAAUACUCUGGCAAAGUGUUUUGAUAUUGAAGUACUGUGGACUCAGAGAGACAGGAGCCUCCGUGGAGCACCAGGUCUCUGCAACCCUCUUGCCCACUUCUUCCCACCCUCUUUCUCUCAGUGGCAGGAUACAAAACAGAGCCACUCUCAGAAGGCAGCCAUAAGACUCACAUCACCUAGCCCCAUACCCACCCCAGUAGAAGGUGGCCCUCUGACCCACCCUGUCUGAGAGUAAAGGUCCUAAGACCCUCAUUGCUAAGGGUCCUGCCCUAGAGUCACCCAGGGGGAAGGGUGAACCAAGAAGAAUCUGCACAGACUUUCUGGGGCCCUUCAGUCCAUCACCACAAGGUCACAUUUUUGUCCAGUCAUAUGUCUACCCAGCUGUCUAUGUUUCACCAAACCUAAGCAUAAAACCCACUUCUCCCUGGGCCUUUGGGUCCUGGUUUCUGAAGUCUCGCUGGAUGAGUAAAAUGUUGUAACUCUG